rnacentral:rRNA from 1 species
UAGGGAAUAUUAGAAAUGGACGAAAGUCUGAUCUAGCAACACCGCGUGCGAAGAAGGCCUUUGGGUCGUAAAGCACUUUUUGGAAGGAAUAGGAAGGAAUGUACUUCCAGAAUAAGUCUCGGCUAACUACGUGCCAGCAGCCGCGGUAACACGUAGGAGGCAAACGUUAUCCGGAUUUACUGGGCGUAAAGCGCGUGUAGGUGGUACUGUAAGUAGGGCGUGAAAGCUCCUGGCUCAACUGGGAGAGGCCGUUCUAAACUACAGAACUAGAGGAUGGUAGAGGGAGGUGGAAUUCCAGGUGUAGCGGUGGAAUGCGCAGAUAUCUGGAGGAACACCGGUGGCGAAGGCGGCCUCCUGGACCAUUCCUGACACUCAGACGCGAAAGCUAGGGUAGCAAACGG